ACAGCUAGGAACAGAAUCCAGAAUCACACCCUAUGUGAUUCCAAAUUUCUAAGAAGCCCUUGGUGCUGAACACAAACGUCAUUGUCCACAGCACUGACUCCUGUGAUGCCGGACACUGGAGCUGAUGGUAAGGUUUGCUGACCACGUGCCAGCCUCUGACUCAGGACCACCAGAAUACUGGAACUUCGUGCUCUCUUCUACACAAGAAUGUUUGGGAAGCACUCAAGACCGUGCACUGUGAAAACAAGUGGCCUUCCUUAGAGUCCAAGAGCAUCAACCCCAGCCCAGCAGCGAUGAGAUGUGCAGCCCUAAGCAAGAAACAGAAAAGACGCUGGAUAUCAUCCUGAACAUCCUGAGCCUUCAGGUGCUAUAGAAAAUUAUUUUAUUUAUUGUGUAACUUGUACACUUUCCGUUCCCUCCAUAUGGUUCCACCAAGAGAACAUGAACUUUGUAUGCUUGAUACUUUAUCCCCAGCAACUACUCUGGUCCCGGCGUCUCGCAAAAUUAUUUGUUAGAUGAUUGAAGAUGCUUGAAGACGAGGAGGAAACUCUCCAUUGCUUUUUCUUCUCUGAUUAAUACUGUUCCAUUGCUUCACUUUUGUUGUUGUUGUUGUUGUUGUAAAGAAUUUGCAUUCCAACUCUUUAACAUUUUUUCCCAAAUGACUCAGCAAUUUCGGCAAGUAUGAAAGCAGAUUACUAACAUUAAGACAAAAAAUCAUUCACUCUCGUGCAUUAUGACACACGGAAAGCUGUAUCUUGCUUACUUAGUUCAACUUGCUCACUGCUCAGAGUCUAGUCCAGGACUAGCAUACAUAAUAAAUAAAGCAAGACAUUACACCCAUAAUCCCAAAAGAAUGUAAAUGGAAUUUCAAGCAGAACAGCAGGUCUGCCAAAACUGAUGUCUAAAUAAUUGUGGUUUCUGGUUUAUGAUGUAUGCUACAUGCUUAUGGAAUUACUAGGCCAUAAAGGACUUUGUUAAACCUUUAGAGAAGGAAUUGGGUAUGACUAAUUUCCAGGAGUACUCUAUAAUAUUUUCAAUUAUUUUAUUUAUUAUGAAAUCAUAAAAAAAAAGUUUAGAACUUUAUUACUCAUUCUAGAGGACUGCUGGCAAGUAAAAUGCUUUCAACUAGAAUAAGGCAGAUGUAAUGAGCAGAGACAUUCGUUUCUUUUUCCAAGAGGAAUUUAUGUGUUAAGACUGGUAAAUACAAUACAGUAAGGUAUAAAAGGAAAGAAGCAAAUGGAUCUGUUAUUGAAAUUUUUAAGACUGUAUCUGCCUUACUACGGAUUCUUUGUUCAGGUAUGUAUGGAGCAUGAUAAACAGAAGCUCACUUAAAAGUGUGACUCAGAGGGGCGCCUUGGUGGCUCAGUGGAUUAAAGCCUCUGCCUUCAGCUCAGGUCAUGAUCUUGGGGUCCUGGGAUAGAGUCCUGCAUCUGGCUCUCUGCUCAGCAGGGAACCUGCACCCCUUUCCCCGCUCUCUGCCUGCCUCUCUGCCUACUUGUGGAUCUCUGU